rnacentral:rRNA from 1 species
CCCUUAGAUGUUCUGGGCCGCACGCGCGCUACACUGAUGCAUUCAACAAGCCUAGCCUUGACCGAGAGGUCCGGGUAAUCUUUGAAACUGCAUCGUGAUGGGGCUAGAUUAUUGCAAUUAUUAAUCUUCAACGAGGAAUGCCUAGUAAGCGUGAUUCAUCAAAUCGCGUUGAUUACGUCCCUGCCCUUUGUACACACCGCCCGUCGCUACUACCGAUUGAACGGUUUAGUGAGGGCCUCGGAUUGGUCUCGGCCCGCUCUUUACCGGGCGGCGCCGUUGGUCGAGAAGACGCUCGAACUUGAUCGUUUAGAGGAAGUAAAAGUCGUAACA